rnacentral:rRNA from 1 species
AUGAAACCUUCGGGAGAGUUCUUUUUGGAACGGAAGCAAUCUAGGAGACUUGGAGUAGACAUCAGGGAAGCUUCGAGGUGGCCACGAGGUAGGGAGGCACGCCUGCCCCCCCGGGCGCGCCCCCACCCUCGUGGCUCCCCUAACCAACUUCUUUCGCCUAUAUAUAUAUAUCAAUAUACCCUAAAAACAUCGAAGAGAAGAAUAGAUCGGGAGUUCACCGCCAGAAGCUCCGUAGCCACCGAAAACCAAUCUAGACCCGUUCCGGCACCCUGCCGGAGGGGGGAUCCCUCUCCGGUGGCCAUCUUCAUCAUCCCGGCGCUCUCCAUGACGAGGAGGGAGUAG